UGAUUGAGAAAAUAAUCAAAUGUUUACUUGAUAAUGAAAAAGUCCCAGCCUUUCCUGAGACCCUGAAAUGAAUAUCUGUCAAAGUUCAAGUUUUAGCAGUCACAUGUUGGUGUGUAGCAACCUCCUCCUUCCUUUUGUGCUAUCUUUGCUGUU